GGAUACCUCAAGUAUAAAGGGGUGUUCCAGAUAUUGGGGAAAAAUUUGAUUUUUCUGCCUGGAGAUAAUCAAGUUAUUACUUUAUCAGACUUGAUUAUCUCCAGGGCUAGGGGAGGGAAUUGUGGGUGUGUGUUAUGUUUUUACUGUGCCCGAUUGGUUAAUCUUUGUCCCUCCCUGGGGAUGUCCCCUUGCAUGGGGACUUGCAUAAAAGCCUGUG